UAUAUAUAUAUAUAUAUAUAAGACAUUGUUGUGAGAAAGAAAGGGAGAGAGAGUGAAGGUGAAGAUGGAGAGCGAGUGUGGGAAGCAAAGGCAUGGUGGUGAGGGGAAGAGGAAGAAUAACCAAACAUUUUCGGAGAAAACAAAGGAAAAUUUGUCCAAAAUCAAGCGACAAUGUUCUCGCCCACGCGCAUAUCGCCUGGCUACCAGUGGCCGCUUCCUGGUUGGGUUGCGGAAAAACGCCACAUGUUGUCUGGCAGGGUCUAUAGGUUGGAAGUCUCCACUACUAUGACAGGGAAGGGCAUCAAUACAGAAGCCAGAGCGAGAUUGUAGCUCUGUGGGAGAAAUUCAGAGUGGGUGUGUGUAUUUAUAUGUAUAUAUAUAUAACAUGUCUAGUAUAUUACUGAAUUUACGGUUCUUUCUUGCUUUCUACAGGACUACCUUUUGGACAUUGAAACUCUUUUGAGAUUAAAGCUCAAACAACAUACGUACACAUGUUAUGUUAUGUAAUAUGCUAGUAGGAACUGUGUUCAAUGGAGAUCAAAUAACUACUUGUUAAUGUUAUGUUUGGUUUA